UAUCAAAUUUCCGAGAACACGUGAAGACAGCAAUUUACUUACAUAGUUCUGAUUUAUCGAUUGCAUACUUUCUGUCAUGUUUCCAUCCAGAUUUUGCGCUGUUUUGUUAUCGAAAACAGCGGUAAAAACCGUUUAAAAUAUGUCCUAAUUUAACUAAGGCCUAGUCCUGGUUUAAACUAAACCGUUUCUGGGAAACCGCCCCCAUGCGGACACGUUUAAAAACAGUAAUAUAUCAAUUAAAUUAAUAAUUCGCUACUAAUCAAUAACCAAUACUUUUUCAAGGAUUCAAGUGUUACUGAUAAAGGAGAAAUAAUUUUACAUUCCAUUAUAUAAAGAGAGACAUGGCCGUGGAUGAUACGCGUUCGUUCAUUGAAAAAAAAAGGAAAAUCAAGAAGGUCGGUGUGGCGCUAUUCAUUCUAACAUUCACUGGUGCUGUGCAACUGACCGCAGAUCAGCGCUUAUGAUAAACGUGUUUGUUGCUGGUCUGAUGCAUGCGGGAGACUCGAGCGGCUCCUCCACGUAAGUGUGAACGUGGCUUCUUCAGGUGACGCCGUGCCGUACCGAUCUCCCUGCCUGAGCCGACUGCUCCCGGCCUGUCAAACGCCCGCCAACGCCGCCACAGAGCUCGGAACUGUGAUCCAGCACCAGAACAAUCCCAUGAGGACUUGACCAGCUCAUGCUGUAUUCUUGACCCUCCGCUACAGCUUUAUGGUUUCUUUUCAGAUUUCAGAUGGGUUCUUAUUUUCAGAUUAAUUUUGCUGUGUGAUCAUACAUGAUUUAUGACUGUAAAUAUUAAUAAACACCAAAUUUAUUGAUUUACUGCUUACUAAUCACUUGGUGAAUGUUUUCUCAAGCAAACCACAGCAAGUGACCGGGUUACAGACCGAGAGAAGACGUGAUGUGUUCACGUGAACCUCU